rnacentral:tRNA from 1 species
UCCCAUAUAGCUCAGUUGGUAGAGUACGUGACUGUUAAUCACGGUGUCCCUGGUUCGAGUCCAGGUGUGGGAG